UACGAAGGGGGGCUAGCGUUGCUCGGAAUCACUGGGCGUAAAGCGCACGUAGGCGGAUUGUUAAGUCAGGGGGUGAAAUCCCAGAGCUCAACUCUGGAACUGCCUUUGAUACUGGCGAUCUUGAGUCCGGAAGAGGUGAGUGGAACUCCGAGUGUAGAGGUGAAAUUCGUAGAUAUUAGGAAGAACACCAGUAGCGAAGGCGGCACUCUGGGCCGGAACUGACGCUGAGGAGCGAAAGCGUGGGGAGCGAACAGG
rnacentral:rRNA from 1 species